UUAUUUAAGAGAGUAAAUGGAAUUUUUCUGUAAUGGUGGUAUGUGUAAAUAGGAAAAAGAACUUUAGACGUGAAGACUAUUUACUUCUAAGAUUAUAAUGUAUUGGCUAAAACACGAGAGUGUGGGGAGCAAACAGGAUUAGGUACCCUGGUAGUCCAUACUGUAAAUAAUGAAAAAGAUGUGAAGCAAUUCUAAAAGGUAAGAACUUUUCCGCUUGAGUAGUACGAUCGCAAGAUUAAAAUUCAAAAAACUUGGCUGUUCACUGUUUUGAUUAGAGGAGCGUGUCGUUUAAUUCGAUAGUCCGCGAGAGACCUUACCCAAACUUGAAUCCCUCAUUGACAGGUAUUGCAUGGCCGUCGUCAAUUUGUGUAUUAAACAUAAAACAAAUUCAACCCAGUGGUUUGUCUAUUGGAUGAAGUCAGGUCUUAUUGUCCUAAUGUUUGGGGAUUAGAUGCGCUACAUUUUUUUAUACAAUGGGAAACUUUGAAUGUGAAACCCAAAAAUAAGAGUUCGGAAGGUGCCUGGAAUAUAACGGAAAGUUGGAUUUAAUAGUAAUUGAAAAGUAGAGCGUUUCAAUGAAAUUUAUUCAGUGUUAGUACAAAUUGCCCGUCGCCUUUGCUUAGAAAGGUUGUUUGGUUGCCCCUCAAGAGGGUUCCUAAUAUCUUCGAGGUAGAGUAAGUCGUAA
rnacentral:rRNA from 2 species